AGGGUUUGAUUAUGGCUCAGGACGAACGCUGGCGGCGCGCCUAACACAUGCAAGUCGAGCGGAGUUUUUAAGUGGAAGCUUUCGGGUGGAAAUUUAUAAACUUAGCGGCGGACGGGUGAGUAACACGUGAGCAACCUACCUCUUAGAGGGGGAUAACGUUUGGAAACGAACGCUAAUACCGCAUAAUACCGGGACAUCACAUGGUGAUCCGGUCAAAGGAGCAAUCCGCUGAGAGAUGGGCUCGCGUCCGAUUAGAUAGUUGGCGGGGUAACGGCCCACCAAGUCGACGAUCGGUAGCCGGACUGAGAGGUUGAUCGGCCACAUUGGGACUGAGACACGGCCCAG
rnacentral:rRNA from 1 species